UGCUAUGGCGGGCUUCAUGGGCAGUCUUCGGACUGGUCGUUGUUCUUGCGGUACUGCGACCCCAUGUUGCCCGCCUCCCUA
rnacentral:antisense_RNA from 1 species